UACAUAGAACAUCUUUUUUACUAAUCUGGAUGCAGGGGGAAAACAGAGGAGAUUGAAUCUGGAAACUUGGGGGAAUUGGGUUCAGGAGGAGAAUGUGGGUCGUUUCCGCCUCCUUUUCAUGGCGGUUUGUUGGGAGGAGGAAGAAGAUGAAGGGAGGAGCUUUGAGAAAUGGAGGAUUUUUGCAGAGAAGAGUGGAUGGAUGCACGUGAAGGCCAAAAUGGAAGAUUGGGUUAAAACUUUUACAAGGAUAAAAGAAAUGGUAUUUUAAGUAUAUUAACAGUUGAGGCCACGAUGAGUUGUCUAGUGUGACACUCUCCAGUUUUAGAAGUUAUGUGCAUCAAUUGUUAUGGCUUUUUCAGGAAAAAAACACACUCUAUAGUAUCGAAAAAGUUAAAUACUUUGAUG
rnacentral:lncRNA from 1 species